ACCCCCGUAGCCAAAUGGUAAGGCAACGGACUCUGACUCCGUCAUUUUAUGGUUCAAAUCCAUACGGGGGUG
rnacentral:tRNA from 1 species